CGGAGAGUAGAGGAGUUUGGCUUAUCUCGUCCGCUUUGGAAGCGGAAGCACCUCGGUUCGAAUCCGAGUUCUCCGACCA
rnacentral:tRNA from 1 species